rnacentral:lncRNA from 1 species
UUCAAAAUAUAUUCACAUUUGUUUUCUGUUUUAACAUUAUAGCAAUCCUGGCCAUGGUGCUUCCCAAAUUUUGUGGACAAUAUAACUGAGACCCAGAGAUUUUCAUCAAAUUGUUAGACAAAUGAACAGAAGGUACAGGUGCAGUUCGGGUUCAAAUUCUGGAAACCCAUCAUGCCUUGCCUAAGAGGUAUCUUGCUGCUAAGACAACUGCCCAGAGAAAUCAGAUGUGUGUCCUGGAGAAACAUGAGGAAUACCAAUUUGACUCAGGGGAGAUCAGAGUUGGGUGAACCUUACUCCAGUUCCUGGUAGAGAGUUUUCCAUAUUAACAACCAUCAGCAGUGGGUUGGACACCAUUCUAAACUCCUCUUGUCUGCUUCUGAAGCAGCUUGCUCUCUCUCUGAAGCACAAUAGGAGCCAUUCGGCCUGGCUAGUCUCUCAGGGGGGUCAACUUUACAUUUCCCAACUCUGUGGAAUUCCUUUGAGUACGUAAGCCUAAAGAGCUUUCUGUUUUCACUUUCUGUCUCUUAAUUCUGUAUGAAAUCUAAUUAUCACUGUUGAGUAUAUAGUUUUCAUUAAUCUAGACAUAUAAUUCCAUUUCUAUUCCACCUUGUUCCCUGGAAAAUUUUAAUGUAAAAACUGCUUCCAUAUCCCCCUGUGUUACGUAUGUCACCACACACACACACACACACACCCCAAGCACAAGCAUGCACAAACAUAAUGAUUGGUCAAAUGUGUUAUUCAAUUGUCCUACAAUGUCUAUAUUCAAAGCAGAAGAUGUUUUCCCAUAGUCUUUCAUUGCUGCAUUAAUUAAAAGCAAUGAUAUUGAGACAAAAAAUGUACACUAGACAAGCUCCCACAAAAAACAGUAAAAAUCUUGACAUAGUUUGUGUAUGUUAUAAAUUACAUAGGAUUAUACCCAUGGCUUUAAAAGAUUUACUAGGAUACCGUUUUGUGGCUUCUAAAUUCUAAAAUAUUCUCUAACUGCCAAGCUAACUAGAACAUGAAGAAUAUUUUGUCAAAUGGAGAUACACAUGGUAUUCCUAUGGCAUUUCACUGUUUUUCACCAGUAGUAAAGAUUUGGGAGUAAUUUUACUUUGUAUUUUCCAUGUAAGGAAAAAAGAAACAUGAGUCUUACAGGAUAUGUUUCCACUCUUAUCAUUACUAAGAAUUAUUAGCACAAACGCAUUCUUAUAAUGUUAAAAAGAGAACAUAAAUUUAUGUCAAUGUCAAUAUUGAACUUUACCUGAGCCCUAUGCCCCUACGGAACAGUAAUGCUUAAGGAAUCCACCCCCAUAAUUUUGGUUUUCAGAAAUCCCUUCCCACUUCUGUGUUCCAGGAAGUGGCUCACCACCAAGAACCACCUUUUCCCAUGGGACUGAGAUAACACUGCUUGUCCACUCUUUCCCAUGACUCCCAUAAGACAUGGGUGACCCCCUGGUUGAUGAUGAGGCCAAACACAGACCUUCCUUUUUCCUGUACCAGCUGAAAAGGUCAGACACAGACCCUCCACUUUGUUGUUCUUUAUCUCAUAAAUGAUUAGCCUAAGACUAGAACUGUCCCUCCCCCUGAAACUGGCUAGACACAGAGAUAAACAUUUCCUGUUCAGCUAAGUGACUGGGACUCCACCUAAUUGUACAAUAGCCCCAACUGUAAAUCAUGCUGUGUUCCUCCCUGUGACAGUCCAGGGCAAAACCACUGUGCUAAGACAUUCUGAUUUUCAGAUCUAGUGUGCUUUCCUUAUUGUAAUAGCCUGAAUAAAAUCAAUUUCCUUACUGGUUCUCCUUUUGUCUUUGGCAUCAGUAAUGCUGAACAAAACUAUGACACUUAAGAAACUACUCAGACAAUCCUGAACAAUACUCUGAAGGCAGUUGAGAAGUUCACAACCAGCUAGUCCUUGUAUAAUCUUUUUUCCUUUACUAUCUGCAUUCAGUUUAAGCACUGCCCACUGGCAAAGUUACAUAGACACAUAAAUACACAUUGGUACUUUUAUUCAUUUUUGUUUAAAACAGGGAAUCACCUUCCACCAAAUCAUAAAAUUCUCAAGAGCAAGAUAAAGAACACGUUUUCUAAGUCUCCAAAACCCAUUGGAGUAUCUUUCUCACAAGGGAUGGGCAUUGUUAGCCUGCUGGGUUUCAGUUGAUAAUUUUGUCUAAAUAAACUAGGUGGUGUUUUCGUUUUUUCUUUCUCAAUUUAGAGUACUGAGCAAGUUUUGUCCUCUCAGAAUGCCCUUCUUGGAGAUAACAGAUGGGCCAAAUCUGCUAUGAGAUAUCAACAUGUAUUCCUCUGUAAUUCUGUGGGCUUUGUUGUUGUUGGUGGUGGUGGUGGGGUAGCACACAGGGGAGGGAAUGAAGAUGCAUUCAUCACCUGGGGCUAUGAAGUCCAUGCCUCUCCACAGUGCCCCUUCCCUGGCCCUGAAGCUCACAUACACUGCCAAGAUCCAGCUUGUUAACAGAAAUAACACAGCACCAAACUCCUGUGAAUAUCUCCUGCAAAACUUGUUGGAAAAGGCAGGCUCUAAGAUAACGUUCCACGCUGGCAAUUUGGAUUUUCAUUACAAUACCUGUUACUACCUCUGACCUGUCUACUAUAUGCCAACCACAGCACUGAGCACAUCAUAAGUGACACUUUUCAACCACACAACAACUUGCUGAAAGUCAGGUUCAAGUCUGUCUGAAUCCAAAGCCUCUGCUCUUUCUUUACUGAUGAUUGAUCUAUUAUCAAGAAUACAUUUCUUUACCUGAUAUGAGGGAGAGAUUGUGGGCCACCUGAAAACCUUCACAGACUACUAAUAAUCCUCAGAAAGAUUGGGAAGUGGGCGAGGAAAUUCUAAACUCAUACUUGUAUCUUAAUAUUCUAUGAGAUAAACAAGUUAGGGCCAUGUUGAGCAGGUCAGCUAUUGUAAGCAAAGGUCUCAGAUGUGGCACCAAGGCUAUCUGUCCUCGGAUUUCUCUGAACAGCUUAGCAGGGAGUCUCCAUGGUGUAGGCAUAAAAUGAACCAGUGAAGAAAUGUAGAAAAGUAUUUGUUUGUUUUCUCCCAUAGUGUGUUACGAAGGUUUUAGCCCAAAAUCUAAGGAAGCAGAAUGAAGAUUUCUAGAAAACGCAGGUGAGAUGAAGCCAAAGUGUUAUUUAUACAAACAUGAAAUCACAUCAGCUCGUUCUGAAUGCAGCGUAAUAAGCUGCCUUUCUUAGGAAUAAUGAAGCUUGAAACAAAGAUGUUUUUCCUCACUUAUAGGAAUUUCAGACAGCUGGCAUCACAUCCCUUCUAUACUAGAAGUUCCUUUACACUGACCCGAUCCAGGAGUGGUGAGAAGCAUGUAAAUUGUCAAAUGAAAUCCUGCUUGUGGUUUGGAAGGAGGAGAAAAUCCCACCGCCUUUGUUUCUAACCCUGCUGAGAAGCCGUUUUUUAAAAACCCUUUCCAAAGCACUGGGUUCUCUGAGGGUGCUUGAUCAGUGAAUUGUCAAGGUAAAUUUCCAUCUACCAGUUCUCCAGUUUUAGAUCCAAUCAGAUGAUUCCAAAAGAAUAGAAUUGCACAGUGAAGCAAUCUAAGAAAAAUAUAUCUACCAAUGUUGGGGGAAGAUGCCAGGCAUGACAUGGAUAGAAAGGCAAAAACUAAGGCCAGGCAUGGUGGCUCACGCCUGUAAUCCCAGCACUUUGAGAGGCCGA